UUUCAGAAAGGUCUCAACCCAUUACUGGGUGGGAGUUUGCGCUGGCGCAAGUACAAUGUGCUUGAUUGCUAUGCUUUAUUAUUCCCUUAGAAAAAGUAAAGCAGGAAAUUUGUAAUCUAUCAAUAUAUAAGAAGAAUUGAAGGUGUUUUUCAGGUAAGUCUUGAGGUAGGUUUUACACAAUCUAUUCUAAGGUGAGUACUAUUGGUUCUUCUAGGUAUUAUUAUGUAUAAUUUUUGUAAACAAUGUUUUAACUGUUUUUCUUCUCCCUAGGAAUCCAUCCUUUCACCGAGAACUGUGAUUGGCCGCUUGUCAUCAAUUCGCUCCACACGCUCUGGACCAAUCCUUCUGGCUUUCCAGUCCUUCAAUUCUCAUAUUUAAAACCCCAUGUGCUAUAAAAUGUCUAUAUAGGACCGUAUCUUCAUUCCCUCUCCUGACUUGGUAUUUAUGUUGUGUAAGGCGAGUUUGCAUGGAGUGUUUAGUUUCCCCUAUGUAUAGUUUUUGGCACCUCGCACACCUAAUGGCAUAGACCGUAUUAGGAGUCCCAAAAGCUAUUUGGUUCCUAAUCGGUACCCCUCUACCUGAAUACCUAUUCCCAAUAUAGGUAUUCCAGUUAAAGUGAUUAUUUUCCUCGGGAGAUACCGCCGGUUCUCCAUUUAGGUUGGAAUGCACCAGUCUAUCCUUGAGAUUCUUGUUUCUCCUAUAUGCAGAAAUUAGUUUAAAACGCCCCAAGUCUCCCAAGUCUGCCUGGGCCUGUUGGAAAUGAAGCCUCAAUUGACCACCCAAACGUCCCAAAGGUUGUGAGUAUGUUGUCACCACAGGUAUCAUUUCUUUAGCUUCCCUCUCCACCACAUACCUUCCAUUCACUUCGAAUAUUGUUCUUACUUCCUGUUUUAUUUCCCUCAGGAACCGCCGAGAGUAACCCCGAGGCCUGAGGGCUUUAAACAGGAUGGAUGUCGCCUCCUCCACAUCACUCAGAUGCCGAAGAUGUCAUCCAGGUACCUAAAGUACAGCGAAGGUAGCAGAUAGAACAGCCUCGGUCUUGGGACGUCCGGUCCCAACAGGUUGCAUAGAGUGGAGCAGCGGCGCAUAAUGAUUCCUGUUGCGUUUCAAGCAUUCCAGAUCUUUUUGGACAAGGGUUUCAACAGGAGCUGCCACCUCCCGUGGUACCCAACUGGAUGGAUCAGUGAAAGGUACGUGAGGGAAGUGGCUCUCAUAUUUGAAAUGAUCUAAUAAUUUCAAUCUCCUGUGAUAGGUGUGGAGGUCCCUGCGUAGUUCCCUGCGGUCGGGCUGCUUUGGAGUAGGGAUGAAGUUUCAGGUGUCCAGUGGACUGGAUCGUGUUGCAUCACCCGAAAGUGACGCUCUUCCAAAACAGGU